rnacentral:lncRNA from 1 species
UUUAUAAUAGCUAAGGUUCCACCACUGAUAAAUGCCAACUUUCCAGUGGACCACGGAAAAUUGUCUAUUUUGGGCCACUCCGUGGGAGGCCAUGGAGCUUUUAUUCAUGCUGUGAAGAAUCCUGGAAAGUGCAAAUCUAGGGCAGCAUUUGCUCCAAUUUGCAACCAGUUCUCUGUUUUUGGAGGGUGGAGGUGGGGAUGGGGUAAAAAAUCUCUCAAUGAAUAUUUGAAAUCAGAUCACAAAAAUA